ACCAAAAUUGCUGGAUCACAUGGUAAGAGUAUGUUCAGCUUUGUAAGUAACUGCCAAACUGUCUUCCAAAGCUGCUGUACCAUUUUGCAUUGCCACCAGCAAA
rnacentral:pre_miRNA from 1 species